AGCUCAGAUAAAGUUCAAAUAGGUUUAAACACCAUAAUGCAGUAAGCAGAUGUUUGACCUUAUGUUCUGAGGUGUUUGGAGAUCUUGCUUGGACUCACUUAGAGGAAACCAUGAGGAAGCUCAGCAGCCAUUGCUGAAACAUCACUGCCCUGAGUAACUGUCAAAAUAAACAGUUUUGGCUAGCA